GCAGAGCAUGCUGCGUCAGUGUUGUAGUGAUGUUUGAGCAGAGCAUGCUGCGUCAGUGUUGUAGUGCUGUUUGAGCAGAGCAUGCUGCGUCAGUGUUGUAGUGAUGUUUGAGCAGAGCAUGCUGCGUCAGUGUUGUAGUGAUGUUUGAGCAGAGCAUGCUGCGUCAGUGUUGUAGUGAUGUUUGAGCAGAGCAUGCUGCGUCAGUGUUGUAGUGAUGUUUGAGCAGAGCAUGCUGCGUCAGUGUUGUAGUGAUGUUUGAGCAGAGCAUGCUGCGUCAGUGUUGUAGUGAUGUUUGAGCAGAGCAUGCUGCGUCAGUGUUGUAGUGCUGUUUGAGCAGAGCAUGCUGCGUCAGUGUUGCAGUGAUGUUUGAGCAGAGCAUGCUGCGUCAGUGUUGUAGUGAUGUUUGAGCAGAGCAUGCUGCGUCAGUGUUGUAGUGAUGUUUGAGCAGAGCAUGCUGCGUCAGUGUUGUAGUGCUGUUUGAGCAGAGCAUGCUGCGUCAGUGUUGUAGUGAUGUUUGAGCAGAGCAUGCUGCGUCAGUGUUGUAGUGAUGUUUGAGCAGAGCAUGCUGCGUCAGUGUUGUAGUGAUGUUUGAGCAGAGCCUACAGUCCUCUUUUUAUAUCUCAACACAUCUGGGGAAGAGAGAUACGAUGACCCAUUCCCCUGACUGUAAGUAUUGAUCGGUCCCCUGACUGUAAGUAUUGAUCGGUCCCCUGACUGUAAGUAUUGAUCGGUCCCCUGACUGUAAGUAUUGAUCGGUCCCCUGACAGUAAGUAAGUAUUGAUCGGUCCCCUGACAGUAAGUAAGUAUUGAUCGGUCCCCUGACAGUAAGUAAGUAUUGAUCGGUCCCCUGACAGUAAGUAUUGAUCGGUCCCCUGACAGUAAGUAAGUAUUGAUCGGUCCCCUGACAGUAAGUAAGUAUUGAUCUGUCCCCUGACAGUAAGUAAGUAUUGAUCGGUCCCCCUAACAGUAGGUAUUGAUCGGUCCCCUGACAGUAAGUAAGUAUUGAUCGGUCCCCCUAACAGUAGGUAUUGAUCGGUCCCCCUAACAGUAGGUAUUGAUCGGUUCCCCUAACAGUAAGUAUUGAUCGGUCCCCCUAACAGUAAGUAUUGAUCGGUUCCCCUAACAGUAAGUAUUGAUCGGUCCCCCUAACAGUAAGUAUUUAUCGGUCCCCUAACAGUAAGUAUUGAUCGGUCCCCUAACAGUAAGUAUUGAUCGGUCCCCUAACAGUAAGUAUUGAUCGGUCCCCUAACAGUAAGUAUUGAUCGGUUCCCCUAACAGUAAGUAUUGAUCGGUUACCCUAACAGUAAGUAUUGAUCGGUUACCCUAACAGUAAGUAUUGAUCGGUUACCCUAACAGUAAGUAUUGAUCGGUCCCCUAACAGUAAGUAUUGAUCGGUUACCCUAACAGUAAGUAUUGAUCGGUCCCCCUAACAGUAAGUAAGUAUUGAUCGGUCCCCUGACAGUAAGUAUUGAUCGGUUCCCCUAACAGUAAGUAUUGAUCGGUCCCCCUAACAGUAAGUAAGUAUUGAUCGGUUCCCCUAACAGUAGGUAUUGAUCGGUCCCCCUAACAGUAAGUAUUGAUCGGUUCCCCUAACAGUAGGUAUUGAUCGGUCCCCCUAACAGUAAGUAAGUAUUGAUCGGUCCCCCUAACAGUAAGUAAGUAUUGAUCGGUCCCCUGACAGUAAGUAAGUAUUGAUCGGUUCCCCUAACAGUAAGUAUUGAUCGGUCCCCCUAACAGUAAGUAAGUAUUGAUCGGUUCCCCUAACAGUAAGUAUUGAUCGGUCCCCCUAACAGUAAGUAUUGAUCGGUCCCCCUAACAGUAAGUAUUGAUCGGUCCCCCUAACAGUAAGUAAGUAUUGAUCGGUCCCCUGACAGUAAGUAAGUAUUGAUCGGUUCCCCUAACAGUAAGUAUUGAUCGGUCCCCCUAACAGUAAGUAAGUAUUGAUCGGUUCCCCUAACAGUAAGUAUUGAUCGGUCCCCCUGACAGUAAGUAUUGAUCGGUCCCCUGACAGUAAGUAUUGAUCGGUCCCCUAACAGUAAGUAAGUAUUGAUCGGUUCCCCUGACAGUAAGUAAGUAUUGAUCGGUCCCCUGACAGUAAGUAUUGAUCGGUCCCCUGACAGUAAGUAUUGAUCGGUCCCCCUAACAGUAAGUAAGUAUUGAUCGGUUCCCCUAACAGUAAGUAUUGAUCGGUCCCCCUAACAGUAAGUAUUGAUCGGUCCCCCUGACAGUAAGUAUUGAUCGGUCCCCUGACAGUAAGUAUUGAUCGGUCCCCUAACAGUAAGUAAGUAUUGAUCGGUUCCCCUGACAGUAAGUAAGUAUUGAUCGGUCCCCUGACAGUAAGUAUUGAUCGGUCCCCUGACAGUAAGUAAGUAUUGAUCGGUCCCCCUAACAGUAAGUAUUGAUCGGUCCCCUAACAGUAAGUAAGUAUUGAUCGGUCCCCUAACAGUAAGUAAGUAUUGAUCGGUUCCCUAACAGUAAGUAUUGAUCGGUCCCCUGACAGUAAGUAUUGAUCGGUUCCCCUAACAGUAAGUAAGUAUUGAUCGGUCCCCUAACAGUAAGUAUUGAUCGGUCCCCUAACAGUAGGUAUUGAUCGGUCCCCUAACAGUAAGUAUUGAUCGGUCCCCUAACAGUAAGUAUUGAUCGGUUCCCCUAACAGUAAGUAUUGAUCGGUUCCCCUAACAGUAAGUAUUGAUCGGUUCCCCUAACAGUAAGUAUUGAUCGGUUCCCCUAACAGUAAGUAUUGAUCGGUCCCCUGACAGUAAGUAUUGAUGGUCCCCUAACAGUAAGUAUUGAUCGGUUCCCCUAACAGUAAGUAUUGAUCGGUUCCCCUAACAGUAAGUAUUGAUCGGUUCCCCUAACAGUAAGUAUUGAUCGGUUCCCCUAACAGUAGGUAUUGAUCGGUCCCCUAACAGUAAGUAUUGAUCGGUUCCCCUAACAGUAAGUAAGUAUUGAUCGGUCCCCCUAACAGUAAGUAUUGAUCGGUCCCCUAACAGUAGGUAUUGAUCGGUCCCCUAACAGUAAGUAUUGAUCGGUUACCCUAACAGUAGGUAUUGAUCGGUUCCCCUAACAGUAAGUAAGUAUUGAUUGGUUCCCCUAACAGUAAGUAAGUAUUGAUCGGUUCCCCUAACAGUAGGUAUUGAUCGGUCCCCCUAACAGUAGGUAUUGAUCGGUUCCCCUAACAGUAAGUAUUGAUCGGUCCCCCUAACAGUAAGUAUUGAUCGGUUCCCCUAACAGUAAGUAUUGAUCGGUCCCCCUAACAGUAAGUAUUUAUCGGUCCCCUAACAGUAAGUAUUGAUCGGUCCCCUAACAGUAAGUAUUGAUCGGUCCCCUAACAGUAAGUAUUGAUCGGUCCCCUAACAGUAAGUAUUGAUCGGUUCCCCUAACAGUAAGUAUUGAUCGGUUACCCUAACAGUAAGUAUUGAUCGGUCCCCUAACAGUAAGUAUUGAUCGGUUACCCUAACAGUAAGUAUUGAUCGGUCCCCUAACAGUAAGUAUUGAUCGGUUACCCUAACAGUAAGUAUUGAUCGGUCCCCCUAACAGUAAGUAAGUAUUGAUCGGUCCCCUGACAGUAAGUAUUGAUCGGUUCCCCUAACAGUAAGUAUUGAUCGGUCCCCCUAACAGUAAGUAAGUAUUGAUCGGUUCCCCUAACAGUAGGUAUUGAUCGGUCCCCCUAACAGUAAGUAUUGAUCGGUCCCCCUAACAGUAGGUAUUGAUCGGUCCCCCUAACAGUAAGUAUUGAUCGGUCCCCCUAACAGUAAGUAAGUAUUGAUCGGUCCCCUGACAGUAAGUAAGUAUUGAUCGGUUCCCCUAACAGUAAGUAUUGAUCGGUCCCCCUAACAGUAAGUAAGUAUUGAUCGGUUCCCCUAACAGUAAGUAUUGAUCGGUCCCCCUAACAGUAAGUAUUGAUCGGUCCCCCUAACAGUAAGUAUUGAUCGGUCCCCCUAACAGUAAGUAAGUAUUGAUCGGUCCCCUGACAGUAAGUAAGUAUUGAUCGGUCCCCUGACAGUAAGUAAGUAUUGAUCGGUCCCCUGACAGUAAGUAAGUAUUGAUCGGUCCCCCUAACAGUAAGUAAGUAUUGAUCGGUUCCCCUAACAGUAAGUAUUGAUCGGUUCCCCUAACAGUAAGUAUUGAUCGGUCCCCCUAACAGUAAGUAAGUAUUGAUCGGUUCCCCUAACAGUAAGUAUUGAUCGGUCCCCCUAACAGUAAGUAUUGAUCGGUCCCCCUGACAGUAAGUAUUGAUCGGUCCCCUGACAGUAAGUAUUGAUCGGUCCCCUAACAGUAAGUAAGUAUUGAUCGGUUCCCCUGACAGUAAGUAAGUAUUGAUCGGUCCCCUGACAGUAAGUAUUGAUCGGUCCCCUGACAGUAAGUAAGUAUUGAUCGGUCCCCCUAACAGUAAGUAUUGAUCGGUCCCCUAACAGUAAGUAAGUAUUGAUCGGUCCCCUAACAGUAAGUAAGUAUUGAUCGGUUCCCUAACAGUAAGUAUUGAUCGGUCCCCUGACAGUAAGUAUUGAUCGGUUCCCCUAACAGUAAGUAAGUAUUGAUCGGUCCCCUAACAGUAAGUAUUGAUCGGUCCCCUAACAGUAGGUAUUGAUCGGUCCCCUAACAGUAAGUAUUGAUCGGUCCCCUAACAGUAAGUAUUGAUCGGUUCCCCUAACAGUAAGUAUUGAUCGGUUCCCCUAACAGUAAGUAAGUAUUGAUCGGUCCCCUAACAGUAAGUAUUGAUCGGUUCCCCUAACAGUAAGUAUUGAUCGGUUCCCCUAACAGUAAGUAUUGAUCGGUUCCCCUAACAGUAGGUAUUGAUCGGUCCCCUAACAGUAAGUAAGUAUUGAUCGGUCCCCUAACAGUAAGUAAGUAUUGAUCGGUCCCCUGACAGUAAGUAUUGAUCGGUCCCCUGACAGUAAGUAAGUAUUGAUCGGUCCCCUAACAGUAAGUAUUGAUCGGUUCCCCUAACAGUAGGUAUUGAUCGGUCCCCUAACAGUAGGUAUUGAUCGGUUCCCCUAACAGUAAGUAUUGAUCGGUUCCCCUAACAGUAAGUAUUGAUCGGUCCCCUGACAGUAAGUAUUGAUGGUCCCCUAACAGUAAGUAUUGAUCGGUUCCCCUAACAGUAAGUAUUGAUCGGUUCCCCUAACAGUAAGUAUUGAUCGGUUCCCCUAACAGUAAGUAUUGAUCGGUCCCCUGACAGUAAGUAAGUAUUGAUCGGUCCCCUAACAGUAAGUAUUGAUCGGUUCCCCUAACAGUAGGUAUUGAUCGGUCCCCUAACAGUAAGUAUUGAUCGGUUCCCCUAACAGUAAGUAUUGAUCGGUUCCCCUAACAGUAAGUAUUGAUCGGUCCCCUGACAGUAAGUAAGUAUUGAUCGGUCCCCUAACAGUAAGUAUUGAUCGGUUCCCCUAACAGUAAGUAUUGAUCGGUCCCCUGACAGUAAGUAAGUAUUGAUCGGUCCCCUAACAGUAAGUAUUGAUCGGUUCCCCUAACAGUAGGUAUUGAUCGGUCCCCUAACAGUAAGUAUUGAUCGGUUCCCCUAACAGUAAGUAUUGAUCGGUUCCCCUAACAGUAAGUAUUGAUCGGUCCCCUGACAGUAAGUAAGUAUUGAUCGGUCCCCUAACAGUAAGUAUUGAUCGGUUCCCCUAACAGUAGGUAUUGAUCGGUCCCCUAACAGUAAGUAUUGAUCGGUUCCCCUAACAGUAAGUAUUGAUCGGUUCCCCUAACAGUAAGUAUUGAUCGGUCCCCUGACAGUAAGUAUUGAUCGGUCCCCUGACAGUAAGUAUUGAUCGGUUCCCCUAACAGUAAGUAUUGAUCGGUUCCCCUAACAGUAAGUAUUGAUCGGUUCCCCUAACAGUAAGUAUUGAUCGGUUCCCCUAACAGUAAGUAUUGAUCGGUUCCCCUAACAGUAAGUAUUGAUCGGUCCCCCUAACAGUAAGUAUUGAUCGGUCCCCUAACAGUAGGUAUUGAUCGGUCCCCCUAACAGUAUGUAAGUAUUGAUUGGUUCCCUCUACAUAUGUUUAGUGGUGUUUUCUCCACUUGACAUCCGUGUCACCAGUCAGAUCUGAACCCUGGUCUCCCGCAUAUCAAACCAACACCUUAACCAAUAGGCCAAGAGGACAUUCUGUCUCAAGCGGAGGGUGACACGUAUUUUAUGCCUCAGGUAGAACCUCAUCAGUAGAGCUUUGAGUCCGACUCACCUCCACUACAUACAGGGAUGAUCACCAAGGAAAAUACAUGUUUUUUAAAGCUCGUUGUCUAACAGUCUUUUUCAGUAUCUGGUCUGGAGAUCAUUCAGCUGGGGAAGACUGGAGCAGGGAUGAGUGUGACAGGAAACACCAAAGAGGUGUUUAUAGAGGAGUUAUCUUCUGAGUCUGUGACGACACAAUGUGAUGAUGUCCAGAGGAUGAAGAGGACAGCUUCAGACACUACUGAAACAGCAGGAGGAGGAGCAGCAGGAGGUGCAGCAGCAGGAGGAGCAGGCAUAACAGAAGGUGUACUAGCAGCAGUACUAGGAGGAGUAGCAGGAGGAGGAGCAGCAGGAGCAACAGAAGGUGUACUAGCAGCAGUACUAGGAGGAGAAAAGGAAGCAGCAACAGAAGGUGUACUAGCACCAGUACUAGGAAUGGCAGGAGAAGGAGCAGCAGCAGGAGGAGCAGGGGAAGGUGUAGUAGCAGCAGUACUAGGAGGAGCAGCAACAGGAGUAUUGGUAUUAGCUUUGGGAAUACCAGCAGGAAUAGCAGGAGCAGGUGUAGCAGCAGUUGCAGGAGUAGCAUUUGCAGAGAUUUUUCAAAAACUUAUGCCGAAAUCUACAAAAGGCAGGUGGAAAAGAGAAAGCCUCUGAAAAGGGAGUACAGAUCUGGUUAACAACAAUGAAACUACAUGAGAGGAUAUUGUAUGUUUGUUUCUCUAGUUAAGACUAAUGUAAAAAUGUAUGGGUUCAAAUUAUAAAACAAAACGUACAUCAAUAUACCUUUAUGGAAGGAACUUGUGUACUUUUUAAAAUCAGUCCAUCCCUCUUAUUUAUCGUCAUUUUUUUCAAUGGAACGUUUAGGGACCCCAAAAAAUCAUUCUUUAAGUUGCAAUGUGAAUAAAUGUUACUAUCAUGUUUGUGUAGUGAAACAUGGGUAAUUUCAUGGUGAUUUUAAAGUAACCAAUGAAGGAUAUAUCACUGAUUAAAUAUAAUUUGUCUAUUGUGUCUUGCAUGCAAUAUAAAUAUAAAAACAAACAUUUAUUGACAUGUUGUGUACCGUUAGUAAAUGGGUGUGGCGUUAGAUGCGCCCCCUCCUGCACCAAUAGCAAACAGGUAUGAGAUUCCAUUACGGGUUCUAGAGGAAACUAAUGUGAAACUCCCAUGUCCCCUGUAAUCAGACUCAACACAUAGAUUGACAGAAAAAUCGACGUUGUGAGGAUCCAUUUCUCUCCGGAGUCGGUUGGAUAGAAGAUCCUACAGCCACUUUGUCAAUUUGAAGGCAAACUGACAUAAUGCCUAGAUUGGUCCCCUGCAGUAAUCCUUGGCUAAUGCAGUGUUCCAUUAAAAAAAAGAGCAUCUGUGCCAUUAUUUCAACUUCUAACAAUAAUAAUAAUAAUAUUUUGUCAUUUUAGAUUAUAUUAAUUGAGACAGUUUUAUAUCUUGUGUCAUUGCUGUACUGCAACAUAAAAACAAUAAUCAAGAUUACACAGUCCGUGACGUCACUGCUUUGAGUUUGCGUAGGCCUACAGUACAUAUUGCCAUCUACUGGGCAGGUUGUGUUACUACAUUUGAUUUCCCUCAACUGUCAUUCAGUGUGUAGAAGAGAUGCCCAUCUGACUCAAUGCGUAGGGUGACAGAAAAUCGACUUUGUGUGGAUUAGUUUCGGAGUCUGGUGGAUAGAAAAUCCUACAGCCACUUUGUUCAUUUGAAGACAAAGGUAACGUUUAGAUAUGUCAUCUGCUCCCGCGGUAACCAUAGGCUACUGCAGCGUUCCAUAAAAUGUAUAUUUCAACUUAACAAUAAUACUUUGUAAUUUUAGGAUCAUAUUGAGACAGUUGUAUUUCUUGUUCAUGCUGUACUGCAACAUACAAAAAUAAAUCAAGAUUACACAA